UACAGAGACUGCAAGCGUUAUUCGGAUUCACUGGGCGUAAAGGGCGCGUAGGCGGCAGGGUCAGUCCGGGGUGAAAGCCCCCAGCUUAACUGGGGAAGGGCCUCGGAUACUGCUCUGCUCGAGGAAGGUAGGGGUCGGGGGAACUUCUGGUGGAGCGGUGAAAUGCGUUGAUAUCAGAAGGAACGCCGGUGGCGAAAGCGCCCGACUGGACCUUUUCUGACGCUGAGGCGCGAAAGCUAGAGGAGCGAACGGG
rnacentral:rRNA from 1 species